UACAGAGGGUGCGAGCGAUCAUCGGCCUUACUGGGCGUAAAGCGCACGUAGGCGGCUUGGUAUGUCGGGUGUGAAAUACCCGGGCUCAACCUGGGAACUGCAUCCGAAACUGCCUUGCUCGAGUAUGGGAGAGGGAAGCGGAAUUUCCGGUGUAGCGGUGAAAUGCGUAGAUAUCGGAAGGAACAUCAGUGGCGAAGGCGACUUCCUGGACCAAUACUGUCGCUCAGGUGCGAAAGCGUGGGGAGCAAACAGG
rnacentral:rRNA from 1 species